CCUUGAGACCCAAGAGGUUAAAGACCUUGGGAUUACUGGAUCUAAGUUUAGUUUUGUUGAUCCUUAUGUUGAGAGUCUAGUUUUGCUAGACAAACCCGACCUUGCAGUUACUUACUAAGGGAAAGUAAGAGGAACAACAACAGGCAAGGACGUUGAGGAAUCAUGGAAGCUGAUGAGCUGUACAUAAGUAACAAACUUUAACUCAGUGAAAGAAAAGAGUCAACAAAGUUUCUUGGUGUUGUGUAAUUAGUGUUGGCAUUAGUUAUUAUGUCAAAAUGGAUUGUAGUUAUAACUUUAGAGGAGUUUAUUUUGUUAAACUAAUUUGGGCUACACCACUCUUAUGUUAGUUUUUCCGGAUGAUAUGAAGUUUUGUUUCAACGUGUUUACAAAAAUGGUAAAGCACUAUAUUGUCUGCCAUGCUUUCAUU